AUUUUAUUCUUCUCAACAGGCCCCUGUAAAGAUCGCCGUCAUUUUCAAGCAGCUAAGAGUUCUCAUUGAUUGUGUUUUAAGAAAAAAGCUUGAAAAUCCUAAGAUGUCCCUUGAAAAUGACAAGAUUCUACAGAUCAUUACGGAACUGAUAAAAACAGAAUAAUCGAAACUGAAAUUCAUGGUCAGCUGCUUUAAAAAUUAAGAUGAAAAUACAGUCAUGAAUUAUGUGAAAAGAGACCAUCCCAUUAAGUAUUUCAGUACUUAAAAUGUUUGUACUAGCCAUACCUUAAAGGUGGCAGAAAAAAGCACAUACUUUAAACAUGUGUAAUUUUCUAGUUCCUUUUUAAUGAUUGAUGAUUAUUCUCAGUGUAUUUGCCACUACAUUUACAAUAAAUUCUUUGGUAUCAUCCAUG